rnacentral:rRNA from 1 species
CCUACGGGUGGCAGCAGUAGGGAAUUUUGCGCAAUGGGCGAACGCCUGACGCAGCAACGCCGCGUGAUCGAGACGCCCUUCGGGGUGUAAGGAUCUGUCAGUGGGGACGAAACUUGACGGUAACCACAGAGGAAGCACCGUCUAACUCCGGUCCAGCAGCCGCGGUAAUACGGGGGGUGCAAGCGUUGUCCGGAAUCAUUGGGCGUAACGAGUUCGUAGGCGGCACGUAAAGUCGGGUGUUAAAGGCAGAGGCUCAACUUCGGUACGGCACGGGAUACUUGCGAGCUAGAAUUCGGUAGAUGUAAAGGGAAUUCCUGGUGUAGCGGUGAAAUGCUUAGAUAUCAGGAGGAACAUCGGUGGCGUAAGCGCUUUACUGGGCCGUAAUUGACGCUGAGGAACGAAAGCCAGGGUAGCAAAUGGGAGUAGAUACCCUAGUAGUC